GAGGGUGCAAGCGUUAAUCGGAAUUACUGGGCGUAAAGCGCACGCAGGCGGUCUGUCAAGUCGGAUGUGAAAUCCCCGGGCUCAACCUGGGAACUGCAUCCGAAACUGGCAGGCUAGAGUCUUGUAGAGGGGGGUAGAAUUCCAGGUGUAGCGGUGAAAUGCGUAGAGAUCUGGAGGAAUACCGGUGGCGAAGGCGGCCCCCUGGACAAAGACUGACGCUCAGGUGCGAAAGCGUGGGGAGCAAACAGGA
rnacentral:rRNA from 1 species